UACGUAGGGUGCGAGCGUUAAUCGGAAUUACUGGGCGUAAAGCGUGCGCAGGCGGUGAUGUAAGACAGGUGUGAAAUCCCUGGGCUCAACCCAGGAACUGCGUCCGAUACUGGUUGGCUUGAAUCCGGGAGAGGGACGUGGAAUUCCAGGUGUAGCGGUGAAAUGCGUAGAUAUCUGGGAGGAACACCGGUGGCGAAGGCGACGUCCUGGGACCGGCAUUGACGGCUGAGGCGCGAAAGCCAGGGGAGCAAACGGGG
rnacentral:rRNA from 1 species